UACAGAGGGUGCAAGCGUUAAUCGGAAUUACUGGGCGUAAAGCGUGCGCAGGCGGUGAUGUAAGACAGGUGUGAAAUCCCCGGGCUCAACCUGGGAAUGGCAUUCGGGACUGCAAGGCUGGAGUGCGGCAGAGGAGACUGGAAUUCCUGGUGUAGCAGUGAAAUGCGUAGAUAUCAGGAGGAAUACCGAUGGCGAAGGCAGGUCUCUGGGCUGACACUGACGCUCAUGCACGAAAGCGUGGGGAGCAAACAGG
rnacentral:rRNA from 1 species